UAGUAACCGGCCGAAGUUGAAGCCGGGAAUGAGCUCAAGCUUAAAAUCUCCGUACAAGUUUUGUAUGGCGAAUUGUAGUCUAUAGAGGCGUGGUCAGUGCGGGCGCUUGGGGCAAGUUCCUUGGAGAGGACAGCAUGGAGGGUGAUACUCCCGUUCAUCCCUGAGUGGCUCGUGCGUACGACCCGUUUUCUUUGAGUCGCGUUGUUUGGGAAUGCAGCGCAAAGUAGGUGGUAAAUUCCAUCUAAAGCUAAAUAUUGGUGCGAGACCGAUAGCGAACAAGUACCGUGAGGGAAAGAUGAAAAGAACUUUGAAAAGAGAGUUAAAGAGUACCUGAAACUGCUGAAAGGGAACCGAAUCGUUUCCAGUGUCUAUAAUCCGUGGCAUAUUUCAUUGGCGAGUGUGUGCGUGCGUGUGCUGUGGCAGCGGCUUUUGGCUGCGCUCGGCGUGUGUGCUGUGUGUGCUUGCUGGUGCCCUGUGUUGCGGUGGGACGUCAAGGUCAGUUCGUAUGCUGCGGGAAAUGGCUACCGAGGAGGUAGGGCUUACGCUUGCGUUUGUCUGUUAUAUCUUGGUAGACGAGUAGUCGUGGCUGGGACUGAGUGCCUACAACGUGCUUUUGAGUGGGUCUGUGUCUCCGUGUGUGCUGUGUGCGGAUAGCUUGCUAUGCGUGUGUGGUUGCAUGUGGAUUGAUGCGGCUUACUGUGCGUC
rnacentral:rRNA from 1 species